UACGUAGGGCGCAAGCGUUAUCCGGAAUUAUUGGGCGUAAAGAGCUCGUAGGCGGUUUGUCGCGUCUGCCGUGAAAGUCCGGGGCUCAACUCCGGAUCUGCGGUGGGUACGGGCAGACUAGAGUGAUGUAGGGGAGACUGGAAUUCCUGGUGUAGCGGUGAAAUGCGCAGAUAUCAGGAGGAAUACCGAUGGCGAAGGCAGGUCUCUGGGCUAUAACUGACGCUCAUGCACGAAAGCGUGGGGAGCAAACAGG
rnacentral:rRNA from 1 species